GACUUCUGGUGUAAUGAGUCUGGCCCGAGGCCUUCUAGGUUUUUGAGUGCCGGUUCGCAUUUACCAUCCUUCCAGAAACGAUUCUUUCCGCAAGGUUUGAUUCGGAACUGGAUCUUUUACUUUGAAAAAAUUAGAGUGUUUAAAGCAGGCGUUUGCUAUGAAUACAUUAGCAUGGAAUAAUAAGUUAGGACUUCGGUUCUAUUUUGUUGGUUUCUAGGACUGAAGUAAUGAUUGAUAGGGAUAGUUGGGGGUGCUAGUAUUCAGCGGCCAGAGGUGAAAUUCUCGGAUUCGCUGAAGACUAACUUAUGCGAAAGCAUU
rnacentral:rRNA from 1 species